rnacentral:misc_RNA from 1 species
GGCCAACCUUCUAGAUCCUCAUGGCGACCACACUGUCUAGUGGAGGAUGAUGAACAAACCGGCACAAAGAAAUUGGACGACGGACAGUGCGCGAGAGGAGGACAACGAACGGUGGACGGUGCGCGACUCAGAUGAAUAAUGAAUGACAACGUGACUCGGACAACGAACGACAACGCUAUUCUGACAACUUGGAUUGUCGAU